rnacentral:pre_miRNA from 1 species
GGGAUAACCCCCAUGGAGCUGGACUUGCUUCAGUGGGACUUUGGUGCUCACUGAGUCCGCCCCUUAAGUGUAUCACU